GGGUUAAACUUUAACCAGGAAGUUGUUGCACUGCUCCGUGUUUACACAUGUUGAGACUUUCACGUGGAGACUUUUGUUAUUUUUAAAAUGUCUUCAAAGAAAAGUAAAAGUAAACCAAAAAAGUUGAGCGAAGGAGAUGACUCGGUCGUACUGAAGAAGAGCUCAAAUGAGUCAAACUCGCGAACACCUGGCCCUGACGAAGGAAGCUGCAAAAGUUCCAACUGCAACUCCUUCUCUGUCAUCGAUUUCAUAGAGAAAGCUGAUGACAAAACACCCAAAAGCCGCAGAUCAAAUUUAGCCCAAAUGAGCUUCAAUUCAAUGAAGAGCGCCAGCGUUUGCAUCGCUAGACCGGUCCUGCUGACGAGCCCCUCAGGACAACAGGAGGUGUGUGUAGGCUGGCCGGUUGCUUCCUUUCCAGGAGGAAAGGUUGGCCUACAGAAAUGUGUCCAGACCAAUCUGAGAGUAAAAUCAGGAGAGGUGGUGAUGCUGCAGCCCAUCACUGGGCCUGUGCUGCAGAUUGAAGAGGUUGUUCUCUCUAAUAAAUCUAAAGAUGAAAAACUAGAAACGGAUGAUUUCAAAAGCUUCUUUUUGAGAACUCUGGCCGAUAACAUCAUCCUGCCUGGAAAUGACAUCUCUCUGAGUUAUUUUGGCCGCAUGUGCAGCUUCCGGGUGGAGACCAUCAGAGGAGAAGACAGCAUAACCCUCCAGAGACCUUCUCCUGCAACAGAAGUAGUUCCUGAGGCAGAUGAGUCCUCUGUGAUGGACUCCACAUCAGCUGAUCUCUCCUUGCAGCUGAGCACGCUCACUGUGGAUGACAGCAAUGAAGUGGCACCAGGCAGGCCUGGAGAGCCCGGUCCUGCAGCCAGCACCCCCCGCCGACUGGCCCCUCUUCUCUCACUUUCCUCACCUGCUGCUCCCUUCACUCCUUCCUCCAACUCCCAGAAUCUAUCCAGUGUAGGGUCAGCUGUCAGUCCAGAGAGCUCACUCAGCUCAGAGAAGUUGUCCACAGCACCCCCUGCUGGUUGUAUAGGUAGUGACACCUUCUACUGCUUAUCCUGUUCUUCUAAAGUCAAGUUUAAAAAUAAAGAAGAGCAGCAAAAUUCAGAGGCACAAGACCAAAGGCCAAAGGUUACAUACAGCAUGAUUGGUGGUCUCAGCAGCCAACUGGACGCCAUCAGAGAAACCAUCGAGCUUCCUCUGAAACGCCCUGACCUGUUUUCCACCUUUGGGAUCCCACCUCCCAGAGGGGUACUUCUAUACGGACCUCCAGGAACAGGGAAAACCAUGAUAGCACGAGCCAUCGCUAACGAGGUUGGAGCUCACAUGGUGGUGAUCAACGGCCCAGAGGUCAUGAGCAAGUUUUAUGGUGAAACUGAGGCGAGGCUGAGACAUAUAUUCACCGAGGCGUCUCAGAGGCAGCCUGCGAUCGUCUUUAUUGAUGAGCUGGAUGCGUUGUGUCCAAAGAGAGAAGGAGCCCAGAAUGAGGUGGAGAAACGAGUCGUUGCUUCUCUCCUGACUCUGAUGGAUGGGAUUGGUUCAGAGGGUCACUCAGGCCAGCUGCUGGUCUUAGGGGCCACUAACAGACCCCAGGCCCUCGACCCCGCCCUACGAAGGCCCGGACGCUUCGACAAGGAGCUGGAGGUGGGAGUUCCUGGCUUUGCAGAGCGAGCAGAUAUUUUACAGAAGCAGCUGAGUUUGGUGUCAUGCAGCGCCACCAAGGAGGAGCUGACGCAGCUGGCGGACAGAGCACACGGAUACGUGGGAGCAGAUCUCGCAGCUGUUUGUAAAGAAGCAGGUCUGCAUGCAUUGAGAAGAGCCCUGGGAGCUUCACCCCAAACAUCAGACCAGCAGCUGAUGGGGACGGUAAUGGUCACUCUGAAGGACCUUCAAUGGGCCAUGUCCAUUGUGAAGCCUAGUGCCAUGAGGGAAGUUGCUAUUGAUGUCCCCAAGGUGAGCUGGUCUGAUGUUGGUGGCAUGGCAGAGGUGAAGCUCAAGCUGAAGCAGGCUGUGGAGUGGCCUCUGAGGCACCCUGAGGCCUUUACCCGCAUGGGCAUCCAACCACCUAAAGGAGUCCUGCUCUACGGGCCACCAGGCUGCUCCAAGACCCUGAUCGCCAAGGCUCUAGCGAAUGAAAGUGGCCUCAACUUUCUGGCUGUUAAAGGACCAGAAUUACUGAGCAAGUAUGUUGGGGAGUCAGAAAGAGCUGUUAGAGAGGUGUUUCGGAAGGCGAGGGCGGUCGCUCCCUCCAUCGUCUUCUUUGAUGAGAUUGACGCUCUCGCCAGUGAACGAGGAAGCUCCUCAGGUUCCGGCGGCGUAGGUGACCGGGUCCUGGCUCAGCUCCUGACAGAGAUGGACGGUAUUGAGCAGCUCCAGGACGUAACCGUGUUGGCUGCCACCAACCGGCCUGACAUGAUUGAUAAGGUAAACAGACGACUACUUUCUUUCUUCACAUCUCCAUCCUCCUCUUUGGUCACUGAUUGAUAGAUUGAGGAGAUCAUGUGUGUUUGGCUCCCCUGUUUUCUCUUGUCCUGCUUUUCCUCUUUAAUACAUGAUUGAUCAGGUCAAAGGUCACAUGUUCUGGUCUUUCUGAAUAUGUUUGUUCAGUCAGAUCAGAUGCUGGAUUUUACACUUGUUUAUUAGACACAACGGAAAGAUCUAUUUCAUGAUUAUAAAAUUGAGAAAUUAGGAUGUUAGUCUGUUUAUUUAUUCAUUUUAAAGCCCAUUUAAUCAUCUUUACUCCCUCUUCCCAACCUUAAACCCUGUAUUUGUUCUGUUCCUACUCACCUCUGUCCUAAUGAAAUUUCCUAAAUGCUGAUCAAAGAAAAACUCUGUCUCUUCAAAGAGACGUUGGAAAGGAGAAUGUCACGGUGCUCUACGAGCUUCUGAUCAGGAAGCUGCCUUUGUCUAGGUUUUCCUUCUCUUUUGGAAUGAAAGUACUGAAAAUAAAAAUAAGUUUAAGCAAGUCUAAUUGUUACAUAAACACAUCCCCUUAGAAAAUAAACUUGGAGUUGAUGCGUCAUUUUGUAAAGAUGUACCUUCUCCACUAACACUAUACCCUGAGUCUAUUUCUGGCACAUUUAGGGAUCUGACCCAUCCCCAUGUUGGGGGAAUGGCAGAAACGUCCUCCUUUUUUUAAAACUUGUUUCCACCGCAACUCAAACUUCAUUAAUCCUAACAAAGCCUCAAGUGUGUAUUCGAAGGAAAGGGGAGAUGCAUAAAGAGAAAGAAAGUCUAUUAGCAGCAUGCAGGGGGUCAAGCCCCUGGGUGGACAGAUGGAAAAACCCCAGGUGUCAUUCCACCCCCCCACCCCCGGCACACUCCCUAACAGGAAGUGCUCCCCUGUGCAGCUGAGAAAUCAGAUUUUCACUCAGACCUCCAACUGAGCCUGUUUGUAUGUGACUGUGUGUUCAGGAGUGUUCAAAUCUUUCAAAUAAAAUCAAACCCUGUGAACUCCAACAUAAAAUGGAAGCUGAAAAAUGAGCGUCAGACUAAAUUAUUAAAGAUGACAGAAAAAUGUCCUCCACAUUUGACCCAUUCCCAUGGGGACCAAUGAGCUGCAGACACGGCCAUGCUUGGAAACUAUUUGGUGGAUUAGAUAAAGAUCUAAUUGGUUCAAGAUUAAAAAGUCUAGAGUGAUUGCUUCAAUAAUGCUAGCUGGUUUACCAAACACACUUUCCCAACAUUCUGUACUGAGAAUCAUUGGCAGAUAAGCACUGGUUACCUCUGGCUCCACACUGGGUCACAGUUUAGCACCAUCCUCUUCAACAUCACUCCCACCACUAUUCCUUCACUCCAGAGACUGGAGACAUUUCCAUUCUAAAGGCCGGAUAUGAUGGGGCAAACAAAGAUAACUGAAUGUGUUGGGUGUGAAUGAAGUCAUUAUUCAGCUUAAUUAUGUGGAGAAGACUCGUCAAGGCCUCAGCUGUUGGAGGGACAGAGUGUGAAGGGUUUGGUCAGUUGGGUCAAUCUCUAAAAUAAUGCUGGUUUGAAAUUUUGUUUUGCCUGCUUAAGGGUAUUUUAGCUAGAAUAGACCUUAAUCUAACAUCCAAAACAUUUCCCAGUGGAAAUAAGACCCCAAAACCUGCCGCGUUUUGCUCACCUCUGCUCUGACUUACUUCUAGUUCCUGAAACCGGAGCGCCAGAGCUUUUUUUCCCACAGAGCUCGACUCACAAGGCAUUUGUCUAUACUAAAGACCCUUGCAAAUGUGUUGAAAAAAUGGAUGAACUUGGUCUUGCAUUGAAAGUUUUAUUCUUUCAAAGCACACCAUAAUUGAAUCCAUUCAGCAUUUGUUUGUCAAUAGGUUUUUAAACUUACUUUAAUCCAUCAUCGUUCUUUUUUUCCUCAUCUUGUGAAUAAUAUUUUAUCUACUACGCUAACAGGGCCCAGAGGUCUUUGGUGUGUUUACAAAGGUCUGUAGUAACCUGUAGUUUUGGUGUUCAGAGAAAAGUUCUCUUUUGAGUGCAACUAAAUCAGACACUAACCAAAGACAACAAAUCAAUUUUUAAUAAAAAUAGACAGAAUGUUCCAUUUCUUUAAGCAACAAGAGUAACACAUUUAAUAUGUGUUAUUUGUAAGUCCGUAAACAAUCUAUUUUAAUCACAAACAGGGCAAUGUUCCAGCUUCUUUGUUUUUGCAGAGAUACAUUCUUUAAUCGGACUCUUCUGAAACCGUAGUUUAAUUAAUUCCUCUGCAUCACCACAUUGGUCACACACACAUUCUACUUCUUCCCUUCUUCUUAAGGAAGAAAAAACUCCCACACUUCCUGUUGUCUUUGUGUUGCACCGGUCACCCACUCUCACCUCUGACCUGUCAGCACCCCCUCGAGCUGAUUGAUUAGCACCAUCAGAAAUAUUUGUCCUCCCUGUUCAGUAGAAACAACAUGUCACUAAGUUUGCUGAGCUUGGUUAUUGGUAAUACAAACACCAACAUGUCCUGUUGUUCUCCCCAAUGGUCUACUUCUGUGUUUUACACUAUUCUUCGUCAGUAAGCUCAGUGUCAUUGUAAAUUCAUGGGUAAUGUAGUGAAGCAUAGCGUUAUUUUAGGGGGUUUUGAUGCCAAAAUGCAGCUGUAGUCACAAAAAUCUACCCACACGUUAUCUUCGAUCAAAAAUGAAGUCAUGACGAACUAUGAAAAAAAAACUGCAUCACUAGCUUUAUGCUAACCUAAAGACAAAUGACCAUUGGUCUUCAUUACAGCAAUUAUAGAACUGAUUUGUUUAAUGCUGUUUUUUCACCUGCUAGAUGUCAUGUUCAUGUUGAAACCUGCCUCUUGUUUUGUAAUGAGGUUUCUGAACAGAAGAUGGUGCCAAACAUGACACAGGUUUGUUUUUUAAAGGAGUUUUUCUUUUUUAAAUGAUAGUUUCUAAAUAUUAGAAACUCGCCAUAUGAGAAUCUUUAUGUUUAAUCUUGUCUUGUUGAAAUGUUUAUUUCUUGAGGUGGUUAGAUAUAAUACAAAACAUUCCUUCAUGAUUAAGUUUCAUCACAAUAAAAAUAAGGGGAAAACUCAACUUGGUCUAAAGAAAUUUUGCAUAUUUUGUAAUCCAAUAGCUUAUGAUAUUUAGUCAUAAUAAACAUCCAGUCUUUAAAGUACAAGUAAAGUUGUCCAAAUUGAACAGUUAUUUCAUUGUAAAGUCACAGUUUUUACAGUAUAUAUUUUCAUUUUUCGUCCAUAAGAUAAUACACUUUUCUGUUCUUGUCUCUGAGUGUGCACCAGGGCAGCUGUGGCUACAUUGUAGCUCAUCAUCACCAGGGUGUGAAUGUUUGUGUGAAUGGGUGAAUAACUGAUCAUGUUGUAAAGGCCAUUUACCAUUUCUAAUAGAUGAAGGAAAUAUGGUAAAAUGGUAAAUAGAUUGUAUUUGUAAAGCACCAUCUAGGGUUCUACAACCCCCCAAGGCAUUUCACAAAACAAUCAGUCAUCCACCCAUUCACAAUCACCAUGUUACAUUACAUUCAAUACAAUGAGUAGCUUUAAUAAUGAGCUUUAAUUCAGUUCCUUUUUUUUUUUCAUUUUGCAACCUGUGUCUGUGGAUUUUAGUAAUAAAAGUUCCUACUUGGUUUUAUCUGAUACAGAGUGAUUAGGACAGUGUGACCCUUGCCAUGCUAUGAUUUAUUACAUAUUUGGCUCACUUGAUGGUAAUUAGCAUAUUUUCCGGACUAUAAGCCGCUACUUCUUUCCCACGCUUUGAACCAUGCGGCUUAUAAUGAGGUGCGGCUUUACAGAAGAUUUUCCUUCACCUGUCAGGGGGCGCUUUAGCAGAAAGUGAAACAGGUGGAAGUCAAAAGUGGAAAUCGAAGAAAGUGCUCAUUUUAAUUUAGCACAUGCAAGCAGCCGGCACGACGAAGAAUUUUUUUCAAAUCCAUACCCCCUCAUCAUGGUAACUACACGUAUGAGUUCAUAUUUUGCCACAUUUAAGUUGAAGGCCAUCGAUCUGGCAGUAAAGGAGGGAAACAGUGCUGCCUCAUGUAAGCUUGGCAUGAAUGAAUCCAUGGCUUGGCGCUGGAGACGGCAGCGGGAAGAACUCAUUCAAGCCAGCUUAACCCGGGGAUGAUGACACAACACGGACAGCGACACUGACAUCGCCACAGAAAAGGUAUUGACGAAGCUCUUCUGAGGCUGUUCAACUCCGACACUGAAGAAGAGGACUUUAAUGGCUUUAGUGCGCAAGAGGAAGAUGAGAGCGAAUGACUUUUUCUGGCUCUUAUGCGUCCAGGUCGCCUUGACCGGAUCGUCUAUGUCCCUCUCCCAGAUGCUGCAACUCGACAUGAGAUCUUUUCUCUCCAGUUCCGUAACAUGCCUGUGGCAGAGGACGUGUCUAUAGAUGACCUGGUGACUCAGACCAACAA